UUUAUUGGGAUAACAUGGAAAACACUGUACAACAGGUAGUACAAUCAUGUUUGAUAUGUGCACAAAUAAAUCCCAGACCUAAAGGACAAAAACCACCUGUACAACAUAUAGCACCUGCAAACGGUCCUUGGUCUACUUUACAAAUGGAUUUCAUUGGGCCAUUACCAACAGGUAAGAAUGGAUUAAAAUAUGCGUUAGUAGUUGUGGAUGUAUUCUCUAAAUGGUUGGAAGUAAUUCCACUAACAAAAGAUGAU